ACCUGGGUGGCUCAGUCGGUUGAGCAUCUGACUUCAGCUCAGGUAGUGAUCUCACGGUCCGUGGGUUCGAGCCCCAUGUUGGGCU
rnacentral:tRNA from 1 species